AGCCAGCAGCAAUAUUAGCACCAGCAUCAUCAUCAUUAUUGUCAUUAUCAUCGGAAACAUCGGCAGCAGGAUCAUCAUCGUCUCCGUCUCUACGGCCACCUCUGUCAUCGACGUUGAAAGUUAUUAAGAAUCUGGCCAACAAAACUGUUUCCAAACUAAAAGGAAAAGAAAUGAAUAGAAUCUUGUCCUUGAUGGAGGCUAAACGGAUUUUUGAAGACUUCAUCACUAGUAUCCAAAUCCUCCAAAAACGUCUUACCAAAGAAGAAGUCGAAAAAAUAAGAAAUUACAUCUUUAAGGUGGCAGUCGCCUUGGAGCUAUUCGCCCUUAAUUAUGGCAAACACCAAAUGAUCGGAGCGAAUUCUUCAGUGGAGAUAAACAGCC